UACGAAGGGGGCUAGCGUUGCUCGGAAUCACUGGGUGUAAAGGGCGCGUAGGCGGCUCAUGAAGGCUGUGGUGAAAGUCCGGGGCUCAACCUCGGAUCGGCCGUGGCGACUCGUGGGCUGGAGCACUGUAGAGGCGGGUGGAAUUCCGGGUGUAGCGGUGGAAUGCGUAGAGAUCCGGAAGAACACCAGUGGCGAAGGCGGCCCGCUGGGCAGUGGCUGACGCUGAGGCGCGACAGCGUGGGGAGCAAACAGG
rnacentral:rRNA from 1 species